rnacentral:rRNA from 1 species
GAUGAACGCUGGCGGCGUGCCUAAUACAUGCAAGUCGAGCGAACAGACGAGGAGCUUGCUCCUCUGACGUUAGCGGCGGACGGGUGAGUAACACGUGGAUAACCUACCUAUAAGACUGGGAUAACUUCGGGAAACCGGAGCUAAUACCGGAUAAUAUAUUGAACCGCAUGGUUCAAUAGUGAAAGACGGUUUUGCUGUCACUUAUAGAUGGAUCCGCGCCGCAUUAGCUAGUUGGUAAGGUAACGGCUUACCAAGGCAACGAUGCGUAGCCGACCUGUGAGGGUGAUCGGCCACACUGGAACUGGGACACGGUCCAGACUCCUACGGGAGGCAGCAGUAGGGAAUCUUCCGCAAUGGUCGAAAGCCUGGCGGAGCAACGCCGCGUGAGUGAUGACGGGUUUCGGAUCGUAAAACUCUGUUAUUGGGGAAGAACAAAUGUGUAAGUAACUAUGCACGUCUUGACGGUACCUAAUCAGAAAGCCAGGGCUAACUACGUG